UCUUAUUUUGGCUGACAUAAUUAACAUUUAGCAGAUUCUGAAAACUUUUGACCUCCACUGUAUAAAGAGCUGGAUGAUAUAUGUAUAUUUACUGUUGAGUAUAUUUACUGUAAAGCACAUCUGUUUCAUGUCCGUGUACUGCAUGUGUAUAAUUGUGUUUUUGACAUUGGGAUGUG